rnacentral:rRNA from 2 species
UACGUAGGGGGCAAGCGUUGUCCGGAUUUACUGGGCGUAAAGAGCGCGUAGGCGGAAUGGUAAGCGGGGCCGGAAAGCCCCCGGCUCAACCGGGGAAGGGGCCGCGAACUGCCAUUCUUGAGGGGGAGAGGGGAGAGCGGAAUUCCUGGUGUAGCGGUGAAAUGCGUAGAGAUCAGGAGGAACACCAAUGGCGAAGGCAGCUCUCUGGCUUCACCCUGACGCUGAGGCGCGAAAGCGUGGGGAGCGAACGGG